rnacentral:rRNA from 1 species
UACGUAGGGUGCAAACGUUGUCCGGAAUUACUGGGUGUAAAGGGUGCGCAGGCGGGUAGGUGCGUCAGGGGUUAAAUAUUUCGGCUCAACCGAAAAAAUGCCUUUGAUACGGCCUAUCUUGAGUACGAGAGAGGAUGAUAGAAUUCCUGGUGUAGCGGUGAAAUGCGUAGAUAUCAGGAGGAAUACCAGUGGCGAAGGCGGUCAUCUGGCUCGUAACUGACGCUUAGGCACGAAAGUGUGGGUAGCGAACAGGAUUAGAUACCCUGGUAGUCCACACCCUAAACGAUGUAUGCUUGGUGUUGGGGGCUUGCCCUCAGUGCCGAAGGAAACCCGUUAAGCAUACCACCUGGGGAGUACGAUCGCAAGGUUGAA